UACAGAGGUCCCAAGCGUUGUUCGGAUUCAUUGGGCGUAAAGGGUGUGUAGGUGGCGCCGUAAGUCGGGUGUGAAAUCUCGGGGCUUAACUCCGAAACUGCAUUCGAUACUGCGGUGCUUGAGGACUGGAGAGGAGACUGGAAUUCAUGGUGUAGCAGUGAAAUGCGUAGAGAUCAUGAGGAAGAUCAGUGGCGAAGGCGGGUCUCUGGACAGUUCCUGGCACUGAGACACGAAGGCCAGGGGAGCAAACGGG
rnacentral:rRNA from 1 species